GGAUUAUCCGGGGCUCAGUGUAGACCAAGGCCUGCUGUUGUCAUGCCGCCACGGCCCAGCUGACUUCGCUCUUUGCUCACAAUCGUGGUAUUGUACGCUGCUCUCUUCCAGAAGGGGGCCCACUCCUCUCCGCAUUCAACAACCCCAAGCAUAAAUUCGGGGUGCUGCCUGCUGUCAGUACUGCAUUUCCCUAAAAAAAAAAAAAAAAAAAAGAAAAGGACUUUGGAGCACUGCCAACCAAGAUGCCAGGAGCGAAAGGUAACAAAUUGGAUAAGAAGCCAUCCACCAAGCCAAGUCCCAAGGAACAGCCAAAAAAGGAAGAUCAAAAAGGAGAUGAUAAAAAGCAAGGAGGUAAAUACCAGGACGGCACAGACAGCAGGAAAAACGCAGGACAUCAGAAGUUACAGAAGCAAUAAUUUCCAAGCCUUCCUCAAGGUGGCCUUAGAGACGUUGCUGGGGUCUUGUCGACGGAAACGCCCUGACUGUCAAAGACCAACACCCGCCUGAGCCUGUCAAGGAUCGUCUUUUCCCCACUGUCACACCUGUCAAUAAACUUGCUUUCACAAUUAAAAUAAAUA